CCCAGCUGUAGGCAGCUUCCUAGGUUGCCUUGUACCUAGGCAAGCAUUACACUGCUGGGAGAACAGUAGCCAAUAGCUGAUUGGCAUUCUGGCCCUGGUUCAUGCCAACUCUAUGUUGACUAUACCAGGAUGCUAGCAUAGUUGAAAAGAAAAAAAAAAAAAAA
rnacentral:snoRNA from 1 species